UCCGGAGGGGGCUAGCGUUGUUCGGAAUUACUGGGCGUAAAGCGCGCGUAGGCGGACCUGCAAGUCGGGGGUGAAAGCCCGAGGCUCAACCUCGGAACUGCCUUCGAUACUGCGGGUCUCGAGUCCGGGAGAGGCGAGUGGAAUUCCUAGUGUAGAGGUGAAAUUCGUAGAUAUUAGGAAGAACACCAGUGGCGAAGGCGGCUCACUGGCCCGGUACUGACGCUGAGGCGCGAAAGCGUGGGGAGAAAACAGG
rnacentral:rRNA from 1 species